AUUGAACGCUGGCGGCAGGCCUAACACAUGCAAGUCGAGCGGGGUUUUCGGACCUAGCGGCGGACGGGUGAGUAAUGCGUAGGAAGCUACCCGAUAGAGGGGGAUACCAGUUGGAAACGACUGUUAAUACCGCAUAAUGUCUACGGACCAAAGUGUGGGACCUUCGGGCCACAUGCUAUCGGAUGCGCCUACGUGGGAUUAGCUAGUUGGUGAGGUAAUGGCUCACCAAGGCGACGAUCCCUAGCUGGUUUGAGAGGAUGAUCAGCCACACUGGAACUGGGACACGGUCCAGACUCCGACGGGAGGCAGCAGUGGGGAAUAUUGGACAAUGGGCGCAAGCCCGAUCCAGCCAUGCCGCGUGUGUGAAGAAGGCCUUCGGGUUGUAAAGCACUUUCAGUAGGGAGGAAGCGUUGUGUGUUAAUAGUACACAGCGUUGACGUUACCUACAGAAGAAGCACCGGCUAACUCUGUGCCAGCAGCCGCCGUAAAAC
rnacentral:rRNA from 1 species